AAAUUGAAGAGUUUGAUCAUGGCUCAGAUUGAACGCUGGCGGCAGGCCUAACACAUGCAAGUCGAACGGUAACAGAAAGAAGCUUGCU
rnacentral:rRNA from 1 species